UCACGAGAACACGAGCCCGCCAAAACGCGUCUCGCGCUCAGCUCUCGCGAGAGCACGAGCCCGCCAAAACGCUUCCCGCUCGCUGCCGCCUCAGAGCGGGACCCACUGAGCUCUCCUGGUGCCGUGGCCCCGGUGAGCGGGCACGGCCCUUCCCGGGGAGACCCCGGCCGUACCGGGACCCGGAUCCUCUCGGCGGGGAUUCCCAGCGGGGCCACGACCUGCAGAGAGCAGAAACUGCAAGCUGAAGCCCGCCCGUGGAGCGGGGGACACAGAGUGACGGGUCUGAGGGACGCGUUUUGACACCCAGCCCAGCGGGCAUCGCCGUGCUCGGGCCUGAAGAGGUCUCAACAGCUCCCAGGACUCAGAACAGCUGUGAUGUGAUGUGAAGGCUUCCACAACAGCCUCCACUGACUUCUGACACCACUGCAAUGUGUUACCACAACCUGAACCAUUAACAGGCUGAGAGGAACAAACCAACACUCCUGUCCUGCUGCCCAGAGUGCCCCACUGGCUUCAUACACACAGGUACUACACUCACCUGCUGAUCUUGGGUCCAUUCAGCACAUGCACUUCAGUUAGAAAAAAAAACCAAAACAAUGAAAUCAUCUUCUAUAAAUAAAUUCAACAAAUAAUGAGGAAAGCACAAUUCAUCUGUUUUUCUGAAGAGUACUUAGAAAUUUGGGCAUCUCCAUUCUUCUUACAGAUACUUUAUUCUAUGAUUAAAAACACUGUUCAGUUUUUAGAAUUACACUGUCUGUAUUUCAGGCAUUGCUUCCCUACUGACUGUGCAUACACAUUACCUGAAGUUCACACUAGGGCAAUAUUAAAAGAAAUUAAGAGGCAACUACACUAUUUAGUGUAGACUCAUCUGCUGGGACUGCAGCUUUGAGUUUUUGGUACUUUCUCAACCUCUCAACACUAGCAAAUACAUCUAUACCAUGGACCUGAUCCACUGCUGGCAUCAGUUGAAGAAUGAACAAACUGACAAAGAGAUUAUAAAUAUAUAACUGUAUUUUAUUUUUAAUAUUAAAUAUUUUUAAAUUACAAGCAGUUUUUUGAAUCACACUAUGCAUGAUAAUCAAUAUACAGUAGAAAUUACAAUUUAAAAAUGUACACAAUUUAAAGACAUUUUGACCUGAAAUUUCAUUAACUAUGAUAUAUUGCCAUAAACCUCAUACCUGUAUUAAAUUACAAUAGGAAAACCUCAUACCUAUGAUUUUGUUACAUAGUUUCUCAUUUACAAAUAGAAUUAAACAUUAUAUAUACACACACAUCAGUACCAUUUAUCAUUUAAGUUACACCUACAUCUGUGCAAGUUCAAACAAUUUCAUAAACAAAACUAACCGUAAGUCAUAUUCAAGUUUCUGAAAAAACAGGCUGCUGGUAUUACAAAUACGUAUUUUCAAUAAGUUUAUAUGACAUUUGUCUCUCCUCUAGAUUUUUUCCAGUCCAGAACCAUUGACAUACAAGGAUAUUUCUGUAUUACUUAAAGCUGAAGUAAUUUUGUAUACUCCAUUCUUAUUUAAGGCUAUUUCUUAUAAGGCUAAUGUACUCGGAUUCCACCUUUCACCAACUCCAACAAAAAUAGCCAUGUCGCUAACACCUGACAAUGCUGACAUUUUAGCAUAGUGCUUAACCACAAAAAAAGGUCUUUCUACCAACCAGCUUCCUCAUGAAAAAGACUUGAGUAUUACAUAAAAAUCUGCUAAAAAUACUGAUAAAAAGAAUGAGGCUUAAAUGGCUUUCAUUAGUGCAUCAACAAGGAUAUGAAAACAUGUUGAAUCUGCUCAUUUCCAUGAAAAUGGCAGUUUCCAUAAAUGCGGUUACACACGCAACAUCUCUGCAGCGUGAGAAUUUGGAAGAGUACAGGUGUUCUUAUUAAAACUGGACACUUCUCGCUCCGUUGGCUUCUCACUACUGAUCCUCAUUUUUAAACAAACUUCCUCAGGUGGGAAAUAUCAGAUCUUUUAAACAACUUUAGUAGCCAAAUUGAGACAAUGCCUUCAUUACUCAAAUAACCAGGGUAUCCUACUAGACAAGGAAUUAUAAUGUAACCAGUCCUCAUAAUAAACCAUUGAAAAUAGAUACAUGUACUUCUAAAACUGAAACCAUGCUUCAGUAACUAGUGCAAUACAAACAGUUCAAUGAAUGAUUUGUGACAAAUCCCCUAAUUAUAUGUAACAUAAUUACCAAUUCAUCUUCACUGUGCCAUUGACUGCUAGGCAGAUAUUUAAAUAUUGCUAGUAGUUGAUCAGAUUUUUAACUAGAAGUUUUUCCAAAAGAGACACUUUACAUCACUGCAAUCCAGCCUAGUGGAUUAACGAAACUCAAAUUCAUUGUUUAAACGAGGUGAGUCAACUUUAAAUACUCAUCUUCAUCUUACAGCUAAAAAGGACAUUACCUUGCUUAAUAUGAUACACAUCGCAGCUCGUUUUGGAAAAAAUGCUCCUUUGGCAAUUCAUUAGCAAUGAGUCCAUUUAAGGAGUAAACUUUUACUUUCUGUGUAAGAUUUUCUUUAGUUCUGAGUAAAGAAUAAAAAUCUUAGAUUUCCUUCAAGCAAAGGAAAAUUCAUGAU